rnacentral:rRNA from 1 species
UACAGAGACUGCAAGCGUUAUUCGGAUUCACUGGGCGUAAAGGGUGCGCAGGUGGCCGUGUGUGUGAGGCGUGAAAGCCCGGGGCUUAACCCCGGAAUUGCACCUCAAACUACAUGGCUAGAGCAUUGGAGAGGGUAGCGGAAUUCACGGUGUAGCAGUGAAAUGCGUAGAUAUCGUGAGGAACACCAGUGGCGAAGGCGAGUCCCUGGACAACACCUGACACUGAGGCACGAAAGCUAGGGGAGCAAACAGG